rnacentral:lncRNA from 1 species
GAAUGACUGUAUUUGGUGUACUGUCUUUCAGGGUUUCUUUCCAAGUAGAUACAAACCCCUUUGGAUGGUCUAAUUGCUCUAAAUUCUGGAUCUCAAGAAAAGAGCAGAAAAAAACCUGUUUCUUCCCCACGAGCAGAGCCAGAAAAGGUGACCUUUCUGUCAUUCUUAGAAUAUAUAACAUUAAUUUUAACAUCACCAUGCCUCAUCCUGACAACAAGUUUAGAAGAUUAAAGAAGUACUUCACAGAAUGUAUCACUAAUUUUCUUUUUUUCAUUAAAUAAGCAUGAAUAAUAGAAUUUGC